rnacentral:rRNA from 1 species
CUGAGUACGGCGGAACACGUGAAAUUCCGUCGGAAUCCGGGAGGACCAUCUCCCAAGGCUAAAUACUCCCUAGUGACCGAUAGUGAACCAGUACCGUGAGGGAAAGGUGAAAAGCACCCCGGAAGGGGAGUGAAACAGUUCCUGAAACCGUGUGCCUACAAGUAGUUAGAGCCCGUUAAUGGGUGAUAGCGUGCCUUUUGUAGAAUGAACCGGCGAGUUACGAUUUGUUGCAAGGUUAAGCGGAAAAAGCGGAGCCGUAGCGAAAGCGAGUCUGAAUAGGGCGCAUAAGUAACAGGUCGUAGACCCGAAACCAGGUGAUCUACCCAUGUCCAGGAUGAAGGUAAGGUAAUACUUACUGGAGGUCCGAACCCACGCACGUUGAAAAGUGCGGGGAUGAGGUGUGGGUAGCGGAGAAAUUCCAAUCGAACUUGGAGAUAGCUGGUUCUCUCCGAAAUAGCUUUAGGGCUAGCCUCGAGGUAAAGAGUCAUGGAGGUAGAGCACUGUUUGGACUAGGGGCCCUUCUCGGGUUACCGAAUUCAGAUAAACUCCGAAUGCCAUGUACUUAUACUCGGGAGUCAGACUGCGAGUGAUAAGAUCCGUAGUCGAAAGGGAAACAGCCCAGACCACCAGUUAAGGUCCCCAAAUAUAUGUUAAGUGGAAAAGGAUGUGGGGUUGCUUAGACAACCAGGAUGUUGGCUUAGAAGCAGCCACCAUUGAAAGAGUGCGUAAUAGCUCACUGGUCGAGUGACCCCGCGCCGAAAAUGUACCGGGGCUAAACAUAUUACCGAAACUGUGGAUGAACCUCUUUAGAGGUUCGUGGUAGGAGAGCGUUCUAAGGGCGGUGAAGUCAGACCGGAAGGACUGGUGGAGCGCUUAGAAGUGAGAAUGCCGGUAUGAGUAGCGAAAGAAGGGUGAGAAUCCCUUCCACCGAAUAUCUAAGGUUUCCUGAGGAAGGCUCGUCCGCUCAGGGUUAGUCGGGACCUAAGCCGAGGCCGAUAGGCGUAGGCGAUGGACAACAGGUAGAGAUUCCUGUACCAGUGCUAAUUGUUUAACCGAUGGGGUGACACAGAAGGAUAGGGAAUCGCACGAAUGGAAAUGUGCGUCCAAGCAGUGAGUGUGAGAAGUAGGCAAAUCCGCUUCUCGCGAAGCAUGAGCUGUGAUGGGGAAGGAAAUUAAGUACGGAAGUUCCUGAUUUCACGCUGUCAAGAAAAGCCUCUAGGAAGAGUAGUACUGCCCGUACCGCAAACCGACACAGGUAGAUGAGGAGAGAAUCCUAAGGUGAGCGAGAGAACUCUCGUUAAGGAACUCGGCAAAAUGACCCCGUAACUUCGGGAGAAGGGGUGCUCUAUUAGGGUGCAAGCCCGAGAGAGCCGCAGUGAAUAGGCCCAGGCGACUGUUUAGCAAAAACACAGGUCUCUGCAAAACCGUAAGGUGACGUAUAGGGGCUGACGCCUGCCCGGUGCUGGAAGGUUAAGAGGAGUGCUUAGCUUCGGCGAAGGUACGAAUUGAAGCCCCAGUAAACGGCGGCCGUAACUAUAACGGUCCUAAGGUAGCGAAAUUCCUUGUCGGGUAAGUUCCGACCCGCACGAAAGGCGCAACGAUCUGGGCACUGUCUCAACGAGAGACUCGGUGAAAUUAUAGUACCUGUGAAGAUGCAGGUUACCCGCGACAGGACGGAAAGACCCCGUGGAGCUUUACUGCAACCUGAUAUGGAAUGUUUGUACCGCUUGUACAGGAUAGGUAGGAGCCGAAGAGACGUGUGCGCUAGCAUACGAGGAGGCAAUGGUGGGAUACUACCCUGGCUGUAUGACCAUUCUAACCCGCCACGCUUAGCGCGUGGGGAGACAGUGUCAGGUGGGCAGUUUGACUGGGGCGGUCGCCUCCUAAAGAGUAACGGAGGCGCCCAAAGGUUCCCUCAGAAUGGAUGGAAAUCAUUCGCAGAGUGUAAAGGCACAAGGGAGCUUGACUGCGAGACUGACAAGUCGAGCAGGGACGAAAGUCGGGCUUAGUGAUCCGGUGGUUCCGCAUGGAAGGGCCAUCGCUCAACGGAUAAAAGCUACCCCGGGGAUAACAGGCUUAUCUCCCCCAAGAGUCCACAUCGACGGGGAGGUUUGGCACCUCGAUGUCGGCUCGUCGCAUCCUGGGGCUGUAGUCGGUCCCAAGGGUUGGGCUGUUCGCCCAUUAAAGCGGCACGCGAGCUGGGUUCAGAACGUCGUGAGACAGUUCGGUCCCUAUCCGUCGCGGGCGCAGGAAAUUUGAGAGGAGCUGUCCUUAGUACGAGAGGACCGGGAUGGACACACCGCUGGUGUACCAGUUGUUCCGCCAGGAGCAUCGCUGGGUAGCUAUGUGUGGCAGGGAUAAACGCUGAAAGCAUCUAAGCGUGAAGCCCCCCUCAAGAUGAGAUUUCCCAUUUCUUCGGAAAGUAAGAUCCCUGAAAGAUGAUCAGGUAGAUAGGUUUGGAGUGGAAGUGUAGCGAUACAUGGAGCGGACAAAUACUAAUCGAUCGAGGACUUAAC